GGGGAAUUUUGGACAAUGGGCGAAAGCCUGAUCCAGCCAUGCCGCGUGAAUGAAGAAGGCCUUCGGGUUGUAAAGUUCUUUUAGUUGGAAAGAAAAGAUUAUGAUGAAUAAUCAUAAUUCAUGACGGUACGGACAGAAAAAGCACCGGCUAACUACGUGCCAGCAGCCGCGGUAAUACGUAGGGUGCAAGCGUUAAUCGGAGUUACUGGGCGUAAAGGGUGUGCAGGCGGCCUUGUAAGUCAGAUGUGAAAGCCCCGGGCUUAACCUGGGAAUUGCGUUUGAAACUACAAGGCUAGAGUGCAGCAGAGGGGAGUGGAAUUCCAUGUGUAGCAGUGAAAUGCGUAGAGAUAUGGAAGAACACCGAUGGCGAAGGCAGCUCCCUGGGCUGACACUGACGCUCAUACACGAAAGCGUGGGGAGCAAAC
rnacentral:rRNA from 1 species